rnacentral:rRNA from 1 species
AACGAACGCUGGCGGCGCGCCUAAUACAUGCAAGUCGAGCGAGAAGACGUAGCAAUACGUUUGUAAAGCGGCGAACGGGUGAGGAAUACAUGGGUAACCUACCCUCGAGUGGGGAAUAACUAGCCGAAAGGUUAGCUAAUACCGCGUACGCUCCUUGGACUUCGGUUCAGGGAGGAAAGCGAUACCGUGGGUAUCGCGCUCUUGGAUGGGCUCAUGUCCUAUCAGCUUGUUGGUGAGGUAACGGCUCACCAAGGCUUCGACGGGUAGCUGGUCUGAGAGGACAAUCAGCCACACUGGCACUGCGACACGGGCCAGACUCCUACGGGAGGCAGCAGUAAGGAAUAUUGCGCAAUGGGCGAAAGCCUGACGCAGCGACGCCGCGUGGGGGAUGAAGGUCUUCGGAUUGUAAA